CACGGGGGGAGCAAGCGUUGUUCGGAAUCACUGGGCGUAAAGGGCGUGUAGGCGGUCAGGUAAGUGAGAUGUGAAAUGCCCCGGCUCACCCGGGGACCGGCAUCUCAUACUGCUUGGCUUGAGUACGGGAGAGGAUGUGGGAAUUCAUGGUGUAGCGGUGAAAUGCGUAGAUAUCAGGAGGAACACCGGUGGCGAAGGCGCACAUCUGGCCCGAUACUGACGCUGAGGCGCGAAAGCUAGGGGAGCAAACAGG
rnacentral:rRNA from 1 species